UAGAUGUUCUACUCGAGGUUAAUGUUCAAAUACUUCAUGGGUGUCCAUCCCAAAAAACUCUCUCCAGACACGGCUGUUUUCUUUUCAGAUAGCAGAGAAUUCUUCUAGAAAGAUUACUCUACAUCUUUCCUUGAGUCUGGAGAGCACAGGAAAUCCUGCCUUCUCAUGUACCUUCAACACAGGAACCAUGAACCUGUGUGACGGGUCUGAUCCACCUGCAGUUUUCCCAAACUGCUCCUGUAGUUUUUCUGACCAGAUUCUAUACACUGGAGGUUUAAGAGUCUCUGCUACAGUUACUAUUGAGGAUCAGAAGAUCACAGAGACACUGACGCUGACAAACUGCUACAGUAUCACAGAAAAUUCACCAAAUGCUUCUUAUACACAAUGUGUGCAGUGUGUCUCAUCUGGGUUUCACUGGUCCUCUUCCUCCAAGCGUUGUGAUUGGACACAUGGAAGUGGGCUGCAGUUACACACACAGGAUGAAUGUAAAUAUCUUCUCUCUUAGAUGGUCUACAAAGCCAGAGAGAUUCAGUCUCUGAAGCCGAACAAGGUUUCUUUCCAUGGCAGAAACAAUGUUUUACUAAGAGGAAGGAACCUGGAAUCUGUUACUAAAAUCCGUAUUCAAACGGAUCUGGAGUGCAUUCCUAAAGAAUCUCCAGUGUUUGAUCGCUCCAGUGACACGUUAAGGUUCCACAUUCCUCCCAGUGGAACUAAAGGAACAGUGAAAGUGUGUGUUGUUACUCCUGACGACCGUUGUCAUGGUAACAGCAUCAUCACUUACAGUUCUCAGCCCAGCUGCACUGGAAUACAGCCCACAGUCAGCUGGAGCAGUGGUGGAAGGAAGAUUCAUGUUCAGGGGAGCAAUCUGGAAUUUGUGGAAUUAGUUACUGCCCCCCCCCUCUAAUGAAGUACUGGAAACACAAUACAACACAAGCUCAGGGUAUGUGUGGUUUGUCUCCGGUCCUUAUGAUGGCAGUGGUCAGUUUAGAUUGUUGUUGAAUGUUGGGAACUCCACUGUGGACUGUGUGGAUUAUUUCUCUUAUGAACCUGAUCCUGAAUUCACUGGAUUCACCACCGUACAGGUGGCCAAUUAUCUACAGGUGAACAUUCAGAAAAAGGCAGAUAUGUUGAAUUUGAGUAUGAAUGAGGUGACUGUGACGGGUCUACAGGGAGAUCAGCAGUAUCCGUGUGUUUUGGAGACGAUUGAGUCCAAUGCCAUCAUCUGUAAGAUUAAAAGAGAAUCAGGACACGUUCGAACAGUGGACUCACUCACUAUCACGGUUGGGAAUUAUGUUCACGGGAUGAGUAAUACAAAGAAUCUGUUCUGCCUCAGUCCACACAAUACACCUGGCCAUAUAUGAAGGAAAACUGAUGCUCAGCAUCUUCCAGGGGUAAAAAAAAAGA